CGUGGGCAACCUGCCUCAUACAGGGGGAUAGCAUCGGGAAACUGGUGGUAAAACCGCAUAAGCGCACGAAGACGCAUGUAUUCGUGUGAAAAGGAGAAAUCUGGUAUGAGAUGGACCCGCGUCUGAUUAGCUAGUUGGAGUGGUAAAAGCACACCAAGGCGACGAUCAGUAGCCGGCCUGAGAGGGUGGACGGCCACAUUGGGACUGAGACACGGCCCAG
rnacentral:rRNA from 1 species